UUAAAACUUACACUUUAUAUAUUGUUCUAAAGAAAUUUUUUAUGUUAAAACUUACACUUUAAAUAUUGUUCUAAAGAAAAAAUUUAUAUUAAAACUUACACUUUAAGUAUAAAUGUACAACCUGGAAAGAUAAAAAAAAAAGUUAAAACUUACCCUUAAAGCCAAUUUUCGUGUUUGUAUAGAUUUAUACCCUAAAAAAAAUACAAAUGUGUAAAACAUUGAUGAAGAUAAAAAGAUGAGAGGUAAAUGAAUGAGUGAAUGAGAGAAUGA
rnacentral:lncRNA from 1 species